ensembl:lncRNA
GGGCCGUGCUGUGCCCCACAGCCAUGGGGGAGCCUUAUGGGUCCCUAUGGGGUCCCUAUGGGGUCCCUAUGGGGUCUCUAUGUGUCCCUAUGGGGUCGCUAUGGGUCGCUAUAGGGCCGCUGUGUGCCCCACAGCCAUGGGGGAGCCUUAUGGGUCCCUAUGGGGUCUCUGUGUGUCCCUGUGGGGUCUCUAUGUGUCCCUAUGGGAUCCCUAUGGGGUCUCUAUGUGUCCCUAUGGGGUCUCUAUGGGUCUCUAUGGGUCUGUAGAUCCCUAUGGGGUCCCUAUGUGUCCCUAUGGGGUCGCUAUGGAUCCCUAUGGGGUCCCUAUGUGUCCCUAUGGGGUCGCUAUGGAUCCCUAUGGGGUCCCUAUGUGUCCCUAUGGGGUCGCUAUGGGGUCGCUAUAGGGCCGUGCUGUGCCCCACAGCCAUGGGGGAGCCUUAUGGGUCCCUAUG